rnacentral:rRNA from 1 species
CCUACGGGGGGCAGCAGUGGGGAAUAUUGGACAAUGGGGGCAACCCUGAUCCAGCCAUGCCGCGUGUGUGAAGAAGGCCCUCGGGUUGUAAAGCACUUUCAGUGAGGAAGAACGCCUGGUGGUUAAUACCCAUCAGGAAAGACAUCACUCACAGAAGAAGCACCGGCUAACUCCGUGCCAGCAGCCGCGGUAAUACGGAGGGUGCGAGCGUUAAUCGGAAUUACUGGGCGUAAAGCGCGCGUAGGUGGCUUGAUAAGCCGGUUGUGAAAGCCCCGGGCUCAACCUGGGAACGGCAUCCGGAACUGUCAAGCUAGAGUGCAGGAGAGGAAGGUAGAAUUCCCGGUGUAGCGGUGAAAUGCGUAGAGAUCGGGAGGAAUACCAGUGGCGAAGGCGGCCUUCUGGACUGACACUGACACUGAGGUGCGAAAGCGUGGGUAGCAAACAGGAUUAGAUACCCCAGUAGUC